UACGUAGGGUGCGAGCGUUAAUCGGAAUUACUGGGCGUAAAGCGUGCGCAGGCGGUUCGUUAAGUCAGCUGUGAAAGCCCCGGGCUCAACCUGGGAAUUGCGGUUGAAACUGGCGGACUAGAAUCUGGCGAGAGGGGGUGGAAUUCCACGUGUAGCAGUGAAAUGCGUAGAGAUGUGGAGGAACACCGAUGGCGAAGGCAGCCCCCUGGGCUGAGAUUGACGCUCAGGCACGAAAGCGUGGGGAGCAAACAGG
rnacentral:rRNA from 1 species